CAGCCGCCGCGGGAAUACGGAGGGGGCUAGCGUUGUUCGGAAUUACUGAGCGUAAAGCGCACGUAGGCGGCUUGGUAAGUUAGAGGUGAAAGCCUGGAGCUCAACUCCAGAAUUGCCUUUAAGACUGCCGAGCUAGCAGGUGAGAGAGGUAAGUGGAAUUCCGAGUGUAGAGGUGAAAUUCGUAGAUAUUCGGAAGAACACCAGUGGCGAAGGCGGCCAUCUGGGACAACACUGACGCUGAGGCACGAAAGCGUGGGGAGCAAACAGGAUUAGAUACCCCGGUAGUCCCUGUCUCUUAUAC
rnacentral:rRNA from 1 species